GGAGCGGUGUCCGAGUGGUUGAAGGAGGCGGUCUUGAAAACCGUUGUGCCGUAAGGUACCGGGGGUUCGAAUCCCCCCUGCUCCG
rnacentral:tRNA from 1 species